CCGAGUUUACAACUCCCAAACCCCUGUGAACAUACCCUUUAUGUUGCCUCGGCGGAUCAGCCCGCGCCCCGUAAAACGGGACGGCCCCGCCAGCAGGAACCCUAAACUCUGUUUCUAUAGUGGAACUUCUGAGUAUAAAAACAUAAAUAAAUCA
rnacentral:misc_RNA from 1 species